UUACGGGAGGCAGCAGUGGGGAAUAUUGGACAAUGGGCGCAAGCCUGAUCCAGCAAUACCGCGUGUGUGAAGAAGGCCUGAGGGUUGUAAAGCACUUUUAAUAGGGAGGAAAACCUGUCGGCCAAUACCCGACAGCUUGACAUUACCUAUAGAAAAAGCACCGGCUAACUCCGUGCCAGCAGCCGCGGUAAUACGGAGGGUGCAAGCGUUAAUCGGAAUUACUGGGCGUAAAGCGUGCGUAGGCGGUUUGCUAAGUCAGAUGUGAAAGCCCCGGGCUUAACCUGGGAACUGCAUUUGAUACUGGCAAACUAGAGUUUAAUAGAGGGGAGUGGAAUUUCAGGUGUAGCGGUGAAAUGCGUAGAGAUCUGAAGGAACACCAGUGGCGAAGGCGACUCCCUGGAUUAAAACUGACGCUGAGGUACGAAAGCGUGGGUAGCAAACAGGAUUAGAUACCCCGGU
rnacentral:rRNA from 1 species